AACGAACGCUGGCGGCGUGGAUAAGACAUGCAAGUCGAACGGGAUUUUUUCUGUAGCAAUACAGAGAAAAGUCUAGUGGCGAACGGGUGCGUAACACGUGAGCAACCUACCGUGAAGUGGGGGAUAGCUCGCCGAAAGGCGAAUUAAUACCGCAUGUGGCCAGGAAGGACAUCCUUCCGACGCCAAAGCCGGGGUAACCUGGCGCUUCUCGAGGGGCUCGCGGCCUAUCAGCUUGUUGGUGAGGUAACGGCUCACCAAGGCUAUGACGGGUAGCUGGUCUGAGAGGACGACCAGCCACACUGGAACUGAGACACGGUCCAGACACCUACGGGUGGCUG
rnacentral:rRNA from 1 species